UUGGAUAAGGUGUCUUGGCUAAUGUGUCUUGGCUAAGGUGUCUUGGCUAAUGUGUCUCGGCUAAGGUGUCUUGGCUAAUGUGUCUUGGCUAAUGUGUCUUGGCUAAGGUGUCUUGGCUAAGGUGUCUUGGCUAAGGUGUCUCGGCUAAUGUGUCUUGGCUAAUGUGUCUUGGCUAAGGUGUCUUGGCUAAGGUGUCUUGGCUAAGGUGUCUUGGCUUAGGUGUCUUGGCUAAUGUGUCUCGAAUAAGGUGUCUUGGCUAAGGUGUCUUGGCUAAUGUGUCUUGGCUAAUGUGUCUUGGCUAAUGUGUCUUGGCUAAUGUGUCUUGGCUAAGGUGUCUUGGCUAAGGUGUCUUGGCUAAGGUGUCUUGGCUAACGUGUCUUGGCUAAGGUGUCUUGGCUAAUGUGUCUUGGCUAAUGUGUCUCGGCUAAGGUGUCUUGGCUAAUGUGUCUCGGCUAAGGUGUCUUGGCUAAGGUGUCUUGGCUAAAGUGUCUUGGCUAAGGUGUCUUGGCUAAGGUGUCUCGGCUAAGGUGUCUUGGCUAAUGUGUCUUGGCUAAGGUGUCUUGGCUAAGGUGUCUUGGCUAAUUUGUCUCGGCUAAGGUGUCUUGGCUAAUGUGUCUUGGCUAAGGUGUCUUGGCUAAGGUGUCUUGGCUAAGGUGUCUUGGCUAAGGUGUCUUGGCUAAGGUGUCUUGGCUAAGGUGUCUUGGCUAAUGUGUCUCGGCCAAAGUGUCUUGGCUAAGGUGUCUUGGCUAAAGUGUCUUGGCUAAUGUGUCUCGGCUAAGGUGUCUUGGCUAAGGUGUCUUGGCUAAGGUGUCUUGGCUAAGGUGUCUUGGCUAAUGUGUCUCGGCUAAGGUGUCUUGGCUAAUGUGUCUUGGCUAAGGUGUCUUGGCUAAGAUGUCUUGGCUAAGGUGUCUUGGCUAAGGUGUCUUGGCUAAGGUGUCUUGGCUAAUGUGUCUCGGCUAAUGUGUCUUGGCUAAUGUGUCUUGGCUAAUGUGUCUUGGCUAAUGUGUCUUGGCUAAGGUGUCUUGGCUAAUGUGUCUUGGCUAAGGUGUCUUGGCAAAGGUGUCUUGGCUUAUGUGUCUUGGCUAAGGUGUCUUGGCUAAGGUGUCUUGGCUAAGGUGUCUCGGCUAAUGUGUCUCGGCUAAUGUGUCUCGGCUAAUGUGUCUUGGCUAAGGUGUCUUGGCUAAUGUGUCUCGGCUAAUGUGUCUCGGCUAAUGUGUCUCGGCUAAUGUGUCUUGGCUAAGGUGUCUUGGCUAAUGUGUCUUGGCUAAGGUGUCUUGGCUAAUGUGUCAUGUCUAAGGUGUCUUGGCUAAGGUGUCUUGGCUAAUGUGUCUUGGCUAAUGUGUCUCGGCUAAGGUGUCUUGGCUAAUGUGUCUUGGCUAAGGUGUCUUGGCUAAGGUGUCUUGGCUAAUGUGUUUUGGCUAAUGUGUCUUGGCUAAUGUGUCUUGGCUAAGGUGUCUUGGCUAAUGUGUCUUGGCUAAUGUGUCUUGGCUAAGGUGUCUUGGCUAAUGUGUCUUGGCUAAUGUGUCUUUAAUAAUGUGUCUCGGCUAAGGUGUCUUGGCUAAUGUGUCUUGGCUAAUGUGUCUUGGCUAAUGUGUCUUGGCUAAUGUGUCUUGGCUAAAGUGUCUUGGCUAAUGUGUCUUGGCUAAUGUGUCUUGGCUAAGGUGUCUUGGCUAAUGUGUCUUGGCUAAUGUGUCUUGGCUAAUGUGUCUUGGCUAAUGUGUCUUGGCUAAUGUGUCUUGGCUAAGGUGUCUUGGCUAAUGUGUCUUGGCUAAGGUGUGUUGGCUAAUGUGUCUUGGCUAAUGUGUCUUGGCUAAUGUGUCUUGGCUAAUGUGUCUUGGCUAAUGUGUCUUGGCUAAUGUGUCUCGGCUAAGGUGUCUUGGCUAAUGUGUCUUGGCUAAGGUGUCUUGGCUAAGGUGUCUUGGCUAAGGUGUCUUGGCUAAGGUGUUUUGGCUAAUGUGUCUCGGCUAAUGUGUCUUGGCUAAUGUGUCUCGGCUAAUGUGUCUUGGCUAAGGUGUCUUGGCUAAUGUGUCUUGGCUAAUGUGUCUUGGCUAAUGUGUCUUGGCUAAUGUGUCUUGGCUAAGGUGUCUUGGCUAUGGUGUCUUGGCUAAGGUGUCUUGGCUAAGGUGUCUUGGCUUAGGUGUCUGGGCUAAUGUGUCUUGGCUAAUGUGUCUUGGCUAAGGUGUCUUGGCUAAUGUGUCUUGGCUAAUGUGUCUUGGCUAAGGUGUCUUGGCUAAUGUGUCUUGGCUAAUGUGUCUUGGCUAAGGUGUCUUGGCUAAUGUGUCUUGGCUAAGGUGUCAUGGCUAAGGUGUCUUGGCUAAGGUGUCUUGGCUAAUGUGUCAUGUCUAAGGUGUCUUGGCUAAGGUGUCUUGGCUAAUGUGUCUUGGCUAAUGUGUCUUGGCUAAGGUGUCAUGGCUAAGGUGUCUUGGCUAAGGUGUCUUGGCUAAUGUGUCUCGGCUAAUGUGUCUCGGCUAAUGUGUCUCGGCUAAUGUGUCUUGGCUAAGGUGUCUUGGCUAAUGUGUCUUGGCUAAGGUAUCUUGGCUAAUGUGUCAUGUCUAAGGUGUCUUGGCUAAGGUGUCUUGGCUAAUGUGUCUUGGCUAAUGUGUCUCGGCUAAUGUGUUUUGGUUAAUGUGUCUUGGCUAAUGUGUCUUGGCUAAUGUGUCUUGGCUAAAGUGUCUUGGCUAAUGUGUCUUGGCUAAUGUGUCUUGGCUAAGGUGUCUUGGCUAAUGUGUCUUGGCUAAUGUGUCUUGGCUAAUGUGUCUUGGCUAAUGUGUCUUGGCUAAUGUGUCUUUGCUAAUGUGUCUCGGCUAAGGUGUCUUGGCUAAUGUGUCUUGGCUAAUGUGUCUUGGCUAAUGUGUCUUGGCUAAAGUGUCUUGGCUAAUGUGUCUUGGCUAAUGUGUCUUGGCUAAGGUGUCUUGGCUAAUGUGUCUUGGCUAAUGUGUCUUGGCUAAUGUGUCUUGGCUAAUGUGUCUUGGCUAAUGUGUCUUGGCUAAGGUGUCUUGGCUAAGGUGUCUUGGCUAAUGUGUCUUGGCUAAGGUGUCUUGGCUAAUGUGUCUUGGCUAAUGUGUCUUGGCUAAUGUGUCUUGGCUCAUGUGUCUUGGCUAAUGUGUCUUGGCUAAUGUGUCUCGGCUAAGGUGUCUUGGCUAAUGUGUCUUGGCUAAGGUGUCUUGGCUAAUGUGUCUUGGCUAAGGUGUCUUGGCUAAUGUGUCUUGGCUAAGGUGUCUUGGCUAAUGUGUCUUGGCUAAUGUGUCUUGGCUAAUGUGUCUUGGCUAAUGUGUCUUGGCUAAGGUGUCUUGGCUAAGGUGUCUUGGCUAAUGUGUCUUGGCUAAGGUGUCUUGGCUAAUGUGUCUUGGCUAAGGUGUCUUGGCUAAUGUGUCUUGGCUAAGGUGUCUCGGCUAAUGUGUCAUGGCUUAGGUGUCUUGGCUAAGGUGUCUUGGCUAAUGUGUCUUGGCUUAUGUGUCUUGGCUAAGGUUUCUUGGCUAAUGUGUCUUGGCAAAUAAGUCUCGGCUAAUGUGUCUUGGCUAAUGUGUCUUGGCUCAGGUGUCUUGGCUAAGGUGUCUUGGCUAAUGUGUCUUGGCUAAUGUGUCUUGGUUAAUAUGUCUUGGCUAAUGUGUCUUGGCUAAUGUGUCUCGGCUAAUGUGUCUUGGCUAAUGUGUUUUGGCUUAGAUGUCUUGGCUUAUGUGUCUUGGCUAAUGUGUCUUGGCUAAAAUGUCUUGGCUAAUGUGUCUUGGCUAAUGCGUCUCGGCUAAUGUGUCUUGGCUAAUGUGUCUUGGCUAAGGUGUCUUGGCUAAGGUGUCUUGGCUUAGGUGUCUUGGCUAAUGUGUCUUGGCUAAUGUGUCUUGGCUAAUGUGUCUUUGCUAAUGUGUCUUGGCUAAUGUGUCUUGGCUAAUGUGUAUCGGCUAAUGUGUCUUGGCUAAUGUGUCUUGGCUAAUGUGUCUUGGCUAAUGUGUCUUGGCUAAGGUGUCUUGGCUAAUGUGUCUUGGCUAAGGUGUCUUGGCUAAUGUGUCUUGGCUAAUGUGUCUUGGCUAAUGUGUCUUGGCUAAUGUAUCUUGGCUAAUGUGUCUUGACUUAUGUGUCUUGGCUAAAGUGUCUUGGCUAAGGUGUCUUGGCUAAUGUGUCUUGGCUUAGGUGUCUUGGUUAAUGUGUCUUGGCUAAGGUGUCUUGGCUAAUGUGUCUUGGCUAAUGUGUCUUUGCUAAUGUGUCUUGGCUAAUAUGUCUUGGCUUAUGUGUCUUGGCUAAUGUGUCUUGGCUAAUGUGUCUUGGCUAAGGUGUCUUGGCUAAGGUGUCUUGGCUAAUGUGUCUUGGCUAAUGUGUCAUGGCUAAUGUGUCUUGGCUAAGGUGUCUUGGCUAAGGUGUCUUGGCUAAUGUGUCCCGGCUAAUGUGUCUUGGCUAAUGUGUCUUGGCUAAUGUGUCUUGGCUAAGGUGUCUUGGCUAAGGUGUCUUGGCUAAAGUGUCUUGGCUAAUGUGUCUUGGCUAAAGUGUCUCGGCUAAUGUGUCUUGGCUUAGGUGUCUUGGCUUAUGUGUCUUGGCUAAUGUGUCUUGGCUAAAAUGUCUUGGCUAAUGUGUCUUGGCUAAUGUGUCUUGGCUAAUGUGUCUUGGCUAAUGUGUCUCGGCUAAUGUGUCUUGGCUAAGGUGUCUUGGCUAUUGUUUCUUGGCUAAUGUGUCUCGGCUAAUGUGUCUCGGCUAAUGUGUCUUGGCUAAUGUGUCUUGGCUAAGGUGUCUUGGCUAAUGUGUCUUGGCUAAUGUGUCUUGGCUAAGGUGUCUUGGCUAAUGUGUCUUGGCUAAUGUGUCUUGGCUAAUGUGUCUUGGCUAAGGUGUCUUGGUUUUGGUGUCUUGGCUACGGUGUCUUGGCUGAGGUGUCUUGGCUAAUGUGUCUUGGCUAAUGUGUCUUGGCUAAGGUGUCUUGGCUAAUGUGUCUUGGCUAAUGUGUCUUGGCUAAUGUGUUUUGGCUAAUGUGUCUUGGCUAAGGUGUCUUGGCUAAUGUGUCUUGGCUAAGGUGUCUUGGCUAAGGUGUCUUUUCUGAGGUGUCUUGGCUAAGGUGUCUUGGCUAAGGUGUCUUGGCUAAUGUGUCUCGGCUAAUGUGUCUUGGCUAAUGUGUCUUGGCUAAUGUGUCUCGGCUAAUGUGUCUCGGCUAAUGUGUCUUGGCUAAUGUGUCUUGGCUAAUGUGUCUUGGCUAAUGUGUCUUGGCUAAGGGGUCUUGGCUAAUGUGUCCCGGCUAAUGUGUCUUGGCUAAGGUGUCUUGGCUAAUGUGUCUUGGCUAAGGUGUCUUGGCUAAGGUGUCUUGGCUAAAGUGUCUUGGCUAAUGUGUCUCGGCUAAUGUGUCUUGGCUUAUGUGUCUUGGCUAAGGUGUCUUGGCUAAUGUGUGUUGGCUAAUGUGUCUUGGCUAAUGUGUCUUGGCUAAUGUGUCUCGGCUAAUGUGUCUUGGCUAAGGUGUCUUGGCUAAUGUGUCUCGGCUAAGGUGUCUUGGCUAAUGUGUCUUGGAUACGGUGUCUUGGCUAAUGUGUCUUGGCUAAAGUGUCUCGGCUAAUGUGUCUUGGCUAAGGUGUCUUGGCUAAGGUGUCUUGGCUAAGGUGUCUUGGCUAAUGUGUCUUGGCAAAUGUGUCUUGGCUAAUGUGUCUCGGCUAAUGUGUCUUGGCUAAUGUGUCUUGGCUAAUGUGUCUUGGAUAAUGUGUCUUUGCUAAGGUGUCUUGGCUAAUGUGUCCGGGCUAAUGUGUCUCGGCUAAUGUGUCUUGGCUAAAGUGUCGUGGCUAAUGUGUCUUGGCUUCUGCGUUUUGGCUAAUGUGUCUUGGCUAAUGUGUCUUGGCUAAUGUUUCUUGGCUAAUGUGUCUUGGCUAAUGUGUCUUGGCUAAUGUGUCUUGGAUAAUGUGUCUUUGCUAAGGUGUCUUUUCUAAUGUGUCCGGGCUAAUGUGUCUCGGCUAAUGUGUCUUGGCUAAAGUGUCGUGGCUAAUGUGUCUUGGCUAAUGUGUCUUGGCUUCUGUGUCGUGGCUAAUGUGUCUUGGCUACUGUGUCUUGGCUAAUGUUUCUUGGCUAAUGUGUCUUGGCUAAUGUGUCUUGGCUAAUGUGUCUUGACUAAUGUGUCUUGGCUAAUGUGUCUUGGCUAAGGUGUCUUGGCUAAGGUGUCUUGACUAAUGUGUCUUGGCUAAGGUAUCUUGGCUAAUGUGUCUUGGCUAAUGUGUCUUGGCUAAUGUGUCUUGGCUAAUGUGUCUUGGCUAAUGUGUCUUGACUAAUGUGUCUUGGCUAAGGUGUCUUGGCUAAUGUGUCUUGGCUUAUGUGUCUUGGCUAAGGUUUCUUGGCUAAGGUGUCUUGGCUAAGGUGUCUUGACUAAUGUGUCUUGGCUAAGGUAUCUUGGCUAAUGUGUCUUGGCUAAUGUGUCUUGGCUAAUGUGUCUUGGCUUAUGUGUCUUGGCUAAUGUGUCUUGGCUAAGGUGUCUUGGCUAAUGUGUCUUGGCUAAUGUGUCUUGGCUAAGGUGUCUUGGCUAAUGUGUCUUGGCUAAGGUGUCUUGGCUAAGGUGUCUUGGCUAAGGUGUCUUGGCUAAGGUGUCUUGGCUAAUGUGUCUUGGCUAAAGUGUCUUGGCUAAGGUGUCUUGGCUAAGGUGUCUUGGCUAAAGUGUCUUGGCUAAGGUGUCUUGGCUAAGGUGUCUUGGCUAAUGUGUCUUGGCUAAUGUGUCUUGGCUAAGGUGUCUUGGCUAAUGUGUAUUGGCUAAUGUGUUUUGGCUAAUGUGUCUUGGCUAAGGUGUCUUGGCUAAUGUGUCUUGGCUAAGGUGUCUUGGCUAAGGUGUCUUGGCUAAUGUGUCUUGGCUAAUGUGUCUUGGCUAAGGUGUCUUGGCUAAUGUGUCUUGACUAAGGUGUCUUGGCUAAUGUGUCUUGGCUAAUGUGUCUUGGCUAAGGUGUCUUGGCUAAGGUGUCUUGGCUAAUGUUUCUUGGCUAAGGUGUCUUGGCUAAGGUGCCUUGGCUAAGGUGUCUUGGCUAAUGUGUCUUGGCUAAGGUGUCUUGGCUAAUGUGUCUUGGAUAAUGUGUCUUGGCUAAGGUGUCUUGGCUAAGGUGCCUUGGCUAAUGUGUCUUGGCUAAGGUGUCUUGGCUAAUGUGUCUUGGCUAAGGUGUCUUGGCUAAGGUGUCUUGGCUAAUUUUUCUUGGCUAGGGUGUCUUGGCUAAGGUGCCUUGGCUAAGGUGUCUUGGCUAAGGUGUCUUGGCUAAUGUGUCUUGGCUAAUGUGUCUUGGCUAAGGAGUCUUGGCUAAGGUGUCUUGGCUAAUGUGUCUCGGCUAAGGUGUCUUGGCUAAUGUGUCUUGGCUAAUGUGUCUUGGCUAAUGUGUCUUGGCUAAUGUGUCUUGGCUAAGGUGUCUUGGCUAAUGUGUCUUGGCUAAGGUGUCUUGGCUAAGGUGUCCUGGCUAAUGUGUCUUGGCUAAGGUGUCUUGGCUGAGGUGUCUUGGCUAAUGUGUCUUGGCUAAGGUGUCUUGGCUAAUGUGUCUUGGAUAAGGUGUCUUGGCUAAGGUGUCUUGGCUAAUGUGUCUUGGCUAAUGUGUCUUGGCUAAGGUGUCUUGGCUAAGGUGUCUUGGCUAAUGUGUCUUGGCUAAUGUGUCUUGGCUAAGGUGUCUUGGCUAAUGUGUCUUGGCUAAUGUGUCUUGGCUAAGGUGUCUUGGCUAAUGUGUCUUGGCUAAGGUGUCUUGGCUAAUGUGUCUUGGCUAAGGUGUCUUGGCUAAUGUGUCUUGGCUAAGGUGUCUUGGCUAAUGUGUCUUGACUAAGGUGUCUUGGCUAAUGUUUCUUGGCUAAGGUGUCUUGGCUAAGGUGCCUUGGCUAAGGUGUCUUGGCUAAUGUGUCUUGGCUAAGGUUUCUUGGCUAAUGUGUCUUGGAUAAUGUGUCUUGGCUAAGGUGUCUUGGCUAAGGUGUCUUGGCUAAUGUGUCUUGGCUAAGUUGUCUCGGCUAAUGUGUCUUGGCUAAGGUGUCUUGGCUAAGGUGCCUUGGCUAAUGUGUCUUGGCUAAGGUGUCUUGGCUAAUGUGUCUUGGCUAAGGUGUCUUGGCUAAGGUGUCUUGGCUAAUUUUUCUUGGCUAGGGUGUCUUGGCUAAGGUGCCUUGGCUAAGGUGUCUUGGCUAAGGUGUCUUGGCUAAUGUGUCUUGGCUAAUGUGUCUUGGCUAAGGAGUCUUGGCUAAGGUGUCUUGGCUAAUGUGUCUCGGCUAAGAUGUCUUGGCUAAUGUGUCUUGGCUAAUGUGUCUUGGCUAAUGUGUCUUGGCUAAGGUGUCUUGGCUAAUGUGUCUUGGCUAAUGUGUCUUGGCUAAGGUGUCUUGGCUAAUGUGUCUUGGCUAAGGUGUCUUGGCUAAUGUGUCUUGGCUAAGGUGUCUUGGCUAAUGUGUCUUGGCUGAUGUGUCUUGGCUAAUGUGUCUUGGCUAAGGUGUCUUGGCUAAUGUGUCUUGGCUAAGGAGUCUUGGCUAAGGUGUCUUGGCUAAUGUGUCUUGGCUAAUGUGUCUUGGCUAAGGUGUCUUGGCUAAUGUGUCUUGGCUAAUGUGUCUUGGCUAAGGUGUCUUGGCUAAUGUGUCUUGGCUAAGGUGUCUUGGCUAAUGUGUCUUGGCUAAGGUGUCUUGGCUAAUGUGUCUUGGCUAAUGUGUCUUGGCUAAUGUGUCUUGGCUAAGGUGUCUUGGCUAAUGUUUCUUGGCUAAGGUGUCUUGGCUAAGGUGCCUUGGCUAAGGUGUCUUGGCUAAUGUGUCUUGGCUAAGGUUUCUUGGCUAAUGUGUCUUGGAUAAUGUGUCUUGGCUAAGGUGUCUUGGCUAAUGUGUCUUGGCUGAGGUGUCUUGGCUAAUGUGUCUUGGCUAAUGUGUCUUGGCUAAUGUGUCUUGGCUAAGGUGUCUUGGCUAAUGUGUCUUGGCUAAUGUGUCUUGGCUAAGGUGUCUUGGCUAAUGUGUCUUGGCUAAUGUGUCUUGGCUAAGGUGUCUUGGCUAAGGUGUCUUGGCUAAUGUGUCUUGGCUAAGUUGUCUCGGCUAAUGUGUCUUGGCUAAGGUGUCUUGGCUAAGGUGCCUUGGCUAAUGUGUCUUGGCUAAGGUGUCUUGGCUAAUGUGUCUUGGCUAAGGUGUCUUGGCUAAGGUGUCUUGGCUAAUUUUUCUUGGCUAGGGUGUCUUGGCUAAGGUGCCUUGGCUAAGGUGUCUUGGCUAAGGUGUCUUGGCUAAUGUGUCUUGGCUAAUGUGUCUUGGCUAAGGAGUCUUGGCUAAGGUGUCUUGGCUAAUGUGUCUCGGCUAAGAUGUCUUGGCUAAUGUGUCUUGGCUAAUGUGUCUUGGCUAAUGUGUCUUGGCUAAGGUGUCUUGGCUAAUGUGUCUUGGCUAAUGUGUCUUGGCUAAGGUGUCUUGGCUAAUGUGUCUUGGCUAAGGUGUCUUGGCUAAUGUGUCUUGGCUAAGGUGUCUUGGCUAAUGUGUCUUGGCUGAUGUGUCUUGGCUAAUGUGUCUUGGCUAAGGUGUCUUGGCUAAUGUGUCUUGGCUAAGGAGUCUUGGCUAAUAUGUCUUGGCUAAUGUGUCUUGGCUAAUGUGUCUUGGCUAAGGUGUCUUGGCUAAUGUGUCUUGGCUAAUGUGUCUUGGCUAAGGUGUCUUGGCUAAUGUGUCUUGGCUAAGGUGUCUUGGCUAAUGUGUCUUGGCUAAGGUGUCUUGGCUAAUGUGUCUUGGCUAAUGUGUCUUGGCUAAUGUGUCUUGGCUAAGGUGUCUUGGCUAAUGUUUCUUGGCUAAGUUGUCUUGGCUAAGGUGCCUUGGCUAAGGUGUCUUGGCUAAUGUGUCUUGGCUAAGGUGUCUUGGCUAAGGUGUCUUGGCUAAUGUGUCUUGGCUAAUGUGUCUUGGCUAAGGUGUCUUGGCUAAUGUGUCUUGGCUAAGGUGUCUUGGCUAAUGUGUCUUGGCUAAGGUGUCUUGGCUAAGGUGUCUUGGCUAAUUUUUCUUGGCUAGGGUGUCUUGGCUAAGGUGCCUUGGCUAAGGUGUCUUGGCUUAGGUGUCUUGGCUAAUGUGUCUUGGCUAAUGUGUCU